UACGAAGGGUGCUAGCGUUGUUCGGAAUCAUUGGGCGUAAAGCGUGCGUAGGCGGCUUAGUAAGUCAGCUGUGAAAGCCCAGGGCUCAACCCUGGAAUUGCAGUUGAAACUACUAUGGCUAGAGUAUGUCGGGGGAUAGUGGAAUUCCUAGUGUAGGGGUGAAAUCCGUAGAUAUUAGGAGGAACAUCAGUGGCGAAAGCGGCUAUCUACAUCAUUACUGACGCUGAGGUACGAAAGCGUGGGGAGCAAACAGG
rnacentral:rRNA from 1 species